UUGUUAUGAUGAUGCAGAGUGUGGUUUCAAUUUUCUCUGAAAAGAAAUGAAGCUAUUUUUCUCUUGGCUGUCUGAACAA